UACGGAAGGCAGCAGUGGGGAAUAUUGCACAAUGGGCGCAAGCCUGAUGCAGCCAUGCCGCGUGUAUGAAGAAGGCCUUCGGGUUGUAAAGUACUUUCAGCGGGGAGGAAGGCGAUGCGGUUAAUAACCGCGUCGAUUGACGUUACCCGCAGAAGAAGCACCGGCUAACUCCGUGCCAGCAGCCGCGGUAAUACGGAGGGUGCAAGCGUUAAUCGGAAUUACUGGGCGUAAAGCGCACGCAGGCGGUCUGUUAAGUCAGAUGUGAAAUCCCCGGGCUUAACCUGGGAACUGCAUUUUGAAACUGGCAGGCUUGAGUCUUGUAGAGGGGGUAGAAUUCCAGGUGUAGCGGUGAAAUGCGUAGAGAUCUGGAGGAAUCCGGUGGCGAAGGCGGCCCCUGGGACAAAGCUGACGCUCAGGGUGCGAAAGCGUGGGGAGCAAACGAGGAUUAGGAUA
rnacentral:rRNA from 1 species